GAUGAAGAACGCAGCGAAAUGCGAUAAGUAAUGCGAAUUGCAGAAUUUCCGUGAGUCAUCGAAUCUUUGAACGCACAUUGCGCCCACUGGUAUUCCGGUGGGCAUGCCUGUUCGAGCGUCAUUUGUACCUUCAAGCUUUGCUUGGUGUUGGGUGUUUGUCCUCUCCCUGGUGUUUGGACUCGCCUUAAAACAAUUGGCAGCCAGUGUUUUGGUAUUGAAGCGCAGCACAAUUUGCGAUUCUGGCCUUAAAAUACUAGCGUCCAUAAGUACAUUCUCACUUUUGACCUCGGAUCAUGUAGGGAUACCCGCUGAACUUAAGCAUAUCAAUAAGCGGAGGA
rnacentral:misc_RNA from 1 species